GCCUUAGUAGCGGCGAGUGAGCGGCAAAAGCUCAAAUUUGAAAUCUGGCACUUUCACGUGUCCGAGUUGUAAUUUGAAGAAGGUAUCUUUGGGUCUGGCUCUUGUCUAUGUUUCUUGGAACAGAACGUCACAGAGGGUGAGAAUCCCGUGCGAUGAGAUGACCCAGACCUAUGUAAAGUUCCUUCGAAGAGUCGAGUUGUUUGGGAAUGCAGCUCUAAGUGGGUGGUAAAUUCCAUCUAAAGCUAAAUAUUGGCGAGAGACCGAUAGCGAACAAGUACAGUGAUGGAAAGAUGAAAAGAACUUUGAAAAGAGAGUGAAAAAGUACGUGAAAUUGUUGAAAGGGAAGGGCUUGAGAUCAGACUUGGUAUUUUGUAUGUUACUCUCUCGGGGGUGGCCUCUACAGUUUACCGGGCCAGCAUCAGUUUGGGCGGUAGGAGAAUUGCAAAGAAAUGUGGCACUGCCUCGGUAGUGUGUUAUAGUCUUUG
rnacentral:rRNA from 1 species